GUGAGUAACACGUAAAGAACCUGCCUCAUAGACGGGGACAACUAUUGGAAACGAUAGCUAAUACCGGAUAACAGCAUAAAUCGCAUGAUAUAUGUUUAAAAGUUGGUUUCGGCUAACACUAUGAGAUGGCUUUGCGGUGCAUUAGCUAGUUGGUGGGGUAAAGGCCUACCAAGGCGACGAUGCAUAGCCGACCUGAGAGGGUGAUCGGCCACACUGGGACUGAGACACGGCCCAGACUCC
rnacentral:rRNA from 1 species